CCCAAUUGCAAAUCAUUGCAUUUCAAAGCCCUAGGUGCCUGUAAUUUCUUAGCUGGAUUUCUUUAAAAUUAUUAGCUAUAUCUCUGAUUUAAUUCUUAUAUAAUCAUGAAUUCUUAGGGCUUUAGAUCUUUUAUUCUAUAAGGCUUUGAAUCUCUUUUCCUUUAGAUCCUUCUUUUGGCGUAUAAGGAGACCGAGAUUGAAUGAUGUUCUAGUAUGCGUUUUUGGGAUUUAAAUUUUUAGAUUUCUUGUAUUUCAUCAAUUUUAUGUCUGAACUGCGAUCUCAUUGGCAGAAGUCCAAGAUUUUUACGUGUUCUUGUGAAUUUGUAUUAGUAAUUAUCAACUUUAGCAAAUGAUAUAAUUUUGCUCGAUAAAUAUUUUUUCAUUUGUCUUUCGGUUCCAGUACUAAUUUCAGGUGAGGAAAGUAUUAAUUUUUUGGCUAGAUUUCAGCAACAAGAGCCUUUAUGUGUAAUUCUUAGAAUGAUUGCUCAUGUUCUAUCUAGCGCGAUCAUAUGGGACCAAUCAGUUGCAAUGAUUAAGAAUUUCAGUGGUUAAUACUGUUAUGUUUACACCCUGACAAUCUUUUGAUGUUAAAGCACCUAUCUUCUAUUUGACAAAAUACUUAACUAAUGUUUUUUAAAUUGUAUAUAUGCUAUAAUCUAGAGAAUAAAUUUAAUGUAAAAGCCUCCUGAAUCCUGAGAUGUAAUCAGGUUGCGUUUUAGAAAAUUCGGGUCCUGACUUGUUAUUUUUUAUCAAUC
rnacentral:lncRNA from 1 species